rnacentral:rRNA from 1 species
CCUACGGGAGGCAGCAGUGGGGAAUAUUGGACAAUGGGCGAAAGCCUGAUCCAGCAAUGCCGCGUGUGUGAAGAAGGCCUUCGGGUUGUAAAGCACUUUAAGUUGGGAAGAAAAAGCUCUGGCUAAUAUCUAGAGCCUUGACGGUACCAACAGAAUAAGCACCGGCUAACUCUGUGCCAGCAGCCGCGGUAAUACAGAGGGUGCUAGCGUUAAUCGGAUUUACUGGGCGUAAAGCGUGCGUAGGCGGUUUGAUAAGUCGAUUGUGAAAGCCCCGGGCUUAACCUGGGAAUUGCAGUUGAUACUGUCAGACUAGAAAACGGUAGAGGGAGGCGGAACUCCAGGUGUAGCGGUGAAAUGCGUAGAUAUCUGGAAGAACACCGAUGGCGAAGGCAACCUCCUGGGCCUGUUUUGACGCUGAGGCACGAAAGCGUGGGUAGCAAACAGGAUUAGAUACCCUGGUAGUCCACGCCGUAAACGAUGAGAACUUGACGUUGGUUUGCUUAGCAAGUCGGUGUCGUAGCUAACGCGAUAAGUUCUCCGCCUGGGGAGGUACGGCGCGAGUAGAACGACGAAUAGAAGUAGUACGGCGUGAGACGUAGACCGACGGACGACGACGAGGGAGGAGG